GGGCCAAAUCUGCAGUUUGGUUGCUUUCUCCUGCAGUCAAGGUGGGAGUCUUAAAAGCACGGGGAGAAUACGUCUACUCAGCAGGGAGCAAUUUGGGAUGACGCAAGCAUUCAUAGGAAGUAUGGAGAGGCUUGAACUGGACUAUGUGGUGCUGGAGAGGCCAUCGCACUGACUGGCAAGAGAAGACCUGUUUCAUGGUGGUCCACAGAGCAAUUUCCCUGGCUUCACUCAAGGCUAACUCUCCUCCAGCAAAACACCCCUCUUCUCCUCCCACAGAUGAAGCAGAUGGAUGGAGCUUACAUCAUCAGGAAGUUUGCAAGUUGUUGUGAAGCAGCGGAACUAGAAAUAGUUGGUGAGCAGCUCUGAUGAUUCUACAGGGUGUAUGGUAAGAUGGCCAACGUGCCAAGACAGCAGGAAGGAGGGGCAUGUGAUCCUGGACAGGCAGACAGGGGUCUGAUCCUGUUUGGUCUCCCAGGCUAUUGUAAGGAUUUGGAUUAAUAUACUAAACGCAAUGGGCAGCUGUUGAAAUUUUGUGAACACAGAGGUCUUAACAAGAGGAAACUAUCAGUAUUCUGAUUUUACAGAUGUUGAUAUUGAUAGUAACCAAGAAUUGAGUACCUACUCUGUACCAGGCAAUUAUUCCCCCACUUAUAC
rnacentral:lncRNA from 10 species